GGGAAGGUGGCUCAGUGGUAGAGUGCUUGCCUUGAAUGCAUGAGGCCCUGGGUUCGAUUCCUAAGCACUACCU
rfam:Dipodomys ordii contig_72684, whole genome shotgun sequence.